rnacentral:rRNA from 1 species
AGAGUUUGAUCAUGGCUCAGGACGAACGCUGGCGGCGUGCUUAACACAUGCAAGUCGAACGGUGAAGCAGAGCUUGCUCUGCGGAUCAGUGGCGAACGGGUGAGUAACACGUGAGUAACCUGCCCUUGACUCUGGGAUAAGCGUUGGAAACGACGUCUAAUACCGGAUAUGAACCGUGAACGCAUGUUCUGCGGUUGGAAAGAAUUUUGGUCAAGGAUGGACUCGCGGCCUAUCAGCUAGUUGGUGAGGUAAUGGCUCACCAAGGCGACGACGGGUAGCCGGCCUGAGAGGGUGACCGGCCACACUGGGACUGAGACACGGCCCAGACUCCUACGGGAGGCAGCAGUGGGGAAUAUUGCACAAUGGGCGCAAGCCUGAUGCAGCAACGCCGCGUGAGGGACGACGGCCUUCGGGUUGUAAACCUCUUUUAGUAGGGAAGAAGCGAAAGUGACGGUACCUGCAGAAAAAGCACCGGCUAACUACGUGCCAGCAGCCGCGGUAAUACGUAGGGUGCAAGCGUUGUCCGGAAUUAUUGGGCGUAAAGAGCUCGUAGGCGGUUUGUCGCGUCUGCUGUGAAAACUGGAGGCUCAACCUCCAGCCUGCAGUGGGUACGGGCAGACUAGAGUGCGGUAGGGGAGAUUGGAAUUCCUGGUGUAGCGGUGGAAUGCGCAGAUAUCAGGAGGAACACCGAUGGCGAAGGCAGAUCUCUGGGCCGUAACUGACGCUGAGGAGCGAAAGCGUGGGGAGCGAACAGGAUUAGAUACCCUGGUAGUCCACGCCGUAAACGUUGGGAACUAGAUGUGGGGUCCAUUCCACGGAUUCCGUGUCGCAGCUAACGCAUUAAGUUCCCCGCCUGGGGAGUACGGCCGCAAGGCUAAAACUCAAAGGAAUUGACGGGGGCCCGCACAAGCGGCGGAGCAUGCGGAUUAAUUCGAUGCAACGCGAAGAACCUUACCAAGGCUUGACAUAUACCGGAAACUUCCAGAGAUGGUUGCCCCGCAAGGUCGGUAUACAGGUGGUGCAUGGUUGUCGUCAGCUCGUGUCGUGAGAUGUUGGGUUAAGUCCCGCAACGAGCGCAACCCUCGUUCUAUGUUGCCAGCACGUAAUGGUGGGAACUCAUAGGAGACUGCCGGGGUCAACUCGGAGGAAGGUGGGGAUGACGUCAAAUCAUCAUGCCCCUUAUGUCUUGGGCUUCACGCAUGCUACAAUGGCCGGUACAAAGGGCUGCAAUACCGUAAGGUGGAGCGAAUCCCAAAAAGCCGGUCUCAGUUCGGAUUGAGGUCUGCAACUCGACCUCAUGAAGUCGGAGUCGCUAGUAAUCGCAGAUCAGCAACGCUGCGGUGAAUACGUUCUCGGGCCUUGUACACACCGCCCGUCAAGUCAUGAAAGUCGGUAACACCCGAAGCCAGUGGCCUAACCGUAAGGAGGGAGCUGUCGAAGGUGGGAUCGGUGAUUAGGACUAAGUCGUAACAAGGUAACC